ensembl:lncRNA
GGGAAACGUUUUAAAACAGUGUGUCAAAAAGCUCUGACCGCUGAAGGUGAUAUAGGCUCUGUUCACCGCUCACGGCGUCGGACUCUAGGGAUGCUACCGAACAACCUUAACACUGGGCCGAGAGUGGCGAGAUACUUGAUUUUCCUCUCGUUUUUUCACUACAACCUUGUUACUGGCAGCUCCAAGAAAGACUUGCAGGUUGUCAGAACACAUGCCUCUCCAGAAAAGUGGAUGUUCUUAUACGUUAGUUUCAAUAUCCCUAGCUUUAGAAUUAUGAUUUAAGAUUAUUAGUCCACUCAUCCUCGUUCUUGUUUCACUAAAUUAUGGUUUCUGCACAACAAUAUGAUUAUCAACAACGCGUCCAUGAUGUCCUG